AGUUUUACUUUUGGAGAAGAACACAUUGAAACUUCAAAUAUAGAGUUUUGGAAACUUCAAAAUAGAGUUCCUUUUUGGAGAUGCUCUAAGAAGGAAUUAGUUGAUCUAAAGAACCAAGACUAAAGUAAACAAAAAUUUAAAUUGACGUACAGAAAAGCAAAGUCAAAGGCAUUUGGAACCAAAAAUAAAUAACAGUUUUGAUAAAUGUGUAUAUAUAACUUAUAAGCACUUACAGUUUUGGUAAAUAAAAUUCUUUUAGAUGAAAGCUACAUCAAACAAUCAGUAAAAAAAAUAGAAAUAAUGGAAGAAACAAAAUACUGUGCAUAAACCAAGCAAAAGAAAAGGAAAAAAUUAUCAAAUAAAGUGCAAAGUACAAGUAUGGACUUUAGUCGUGUGGAUCAAAUUUAUUUAUUUCAUACAAAUUAUCGAUAUGAUGUCAAUUAUAUAAUAAAAUUUACAUAUAAAUCAAUUGCAUAAUGUGAUGUCAAUUAUUUGGAUACCGUGAACAAGUUGUGUUACAAAUUUGUAAUGCUCUAUUAGACAUAAGUUUGAAUUCUCAAAAUUAACAAAAUAACUCGAUUAGAACCAAACCGAAUGAAAAAAUGAUUUGAGUAAGAAGGAAUCUAAUGAACCAACACUAAAGUAAACCAGAAAUUAAAUUGAAUAAAAACAAAACCAAACCGAACGAAAAUUACAAUUAUAUGAGUAAGAAGGAAUUAGUUGAUCUAAAGAACCAAGACUAAAGUAAACAAAAAUUUAAAUUGACGUACAGAAAAGCAAAGUCGAAGGCAUUUGGAACCAAAAAUAAAUAACAGUUUUGAUAAAUGUGUAUAUAUAGCUUAUAAGCACUUACAGUUUUUGUAAAUAAAAUUCUUUUAGAUGAAAGCUACAUCAAACAAUCAGUAAAAAAAAAUAGAAAUAAUGGAAGAAAAAAAAUACUGUGCAUAAACCAAGCAAAAGAAAAGGAAAAAAAUAUCAAAUAAAGUGCAAAGUACAAGUAUGGACUUUAGUCGUGUUGAUCAAAUUUACUUAUUUCAUACAAAUUAUUGAUAUGAUGUCAAUUAUAUAAUAAAAUUUACAUAUAAAUCAAUUGCAUAAUGUGAGAUAUGCUUUUUUAUUUGUAAACAUUGCAUAAGAGUCCUAAGAUGUUUAGACAAAAGUGUUUCUGUAAUUUUGCAAUGGUGUUGACAUCACACCUUUUCUGCUGUAAAUGCGGAAUGUUUUCCUUUUUAAUAUGUGCUUUAUAUUCAUGAUUCACAUUUUUGGUUUGAGAUGCAUGGUUAUUUGAAGGUUUUUGGUUGACGAUUGCAUCAUUAUCAUUGUUGUGGUGGAGGAUGCAACAAAACUUACAUAUUCCACUUAUGAGAACAGUUAUAGAAUUUUAUCAAAAUAAUUCAUAUUUAUUUUGCAUCUUCUUGAUGUAAAGAGUAUACUAUUCAUGUUUUUUGUUCUCUAUGAGAAUUUCAGUGUAUCAAAAUUAUAUAUUUCCACUCUUCAUAAUCUUAGACUCCAUAUUCAGACCACUAUUAUAAAACUAUAACUAGAGUUUGAACCCGCACGUCUGCGCGGAUAUUUUUUUUCUUUUAUAAAUGUAUAAUUUUGAUAUUAAAUUUACAUUUUAGUUUUAUAUAUUGUGUAACUUUAUUGUUUAGAUUUCUUAAAUAUAUAUUGAUCUAAUUUAUAUAUUUUACUUUUUUAUUAAAUAUUAUUUUUGUAUACAAUACAUUUUUUAAAUUAAUUUAGUUUACAAUAUAUUUAGUAUAUAGUUUUAUAGUAUAACUAACCAUUUUAGAAAUGAUGAUAUAAUAUGUUAGUCCACAUCUGAGUAAAAUAUGUUUAAUUAAAAUCAUAUAAUAUAGCAACUAUAUAUUUAUAUAUCACUAUAGCUAUGAAAAUAUUAAGGUUAAUUAUAUUAUAAAAAUCAUAUAGUUGUAUAACUAUAAUUUAUCAAUCAUAAAUUCAUAUUAAUAGUCAAAUUCCAAGCAAUGUUGUUGUAUAUUUCUGACGCACCACAACUAAAACAACUCUAUUAGGCUUUCGAAAUUUUAAAAUGAGUAAAUAAGAAACAAUUAAGUGCAAUGAAAUGUCCAUAGUUUUAAAUGAAAAUAAAUAGUGAAUGUUUUACGGAUGUAUAGUAAUUAGGAUGAAAUUAAUGUUGUUAACCAUAAAAAUAGGAGUGACACAUUUUUAAUAUAUUGAAAGUAAAUUAAGGGAACUUAAAAAUAUCUAAUUUUAAAUGUACUAGGGGUUUGGCCCGCCCUACGGGCGGGUGAAUUUGCACUAAAAUUAUUUUAUGUUUGAGUGUAUUGUAUUUUAAUUUUACAAAAUAUUUGAAAUUUUACUUUAUAUUGAAAAUAAUAAGUAUUAUAUGUUUUUAUUCUAAAAUUAUAUUUUAAACUUCGCUAAAUUUUGUUGGUUUGAAGUGAAAAACCUCUAAAAUUGUUUUGUUAAAGAAUACAAAAUUAUUAAAUCAGAAAACUAAAGAAAAUGUAAUGAUUUAUAUUUCUAUUUGAUUUCUGUUUCAAUUUGAUAUAUUUGAAAAAAAUUAAAGUAAGAAUAAUUAAUAUUUUUCAUAUUUUUAAGAGUAUCAGAUUUUAAUAUUAUUAUAAUAACUAAUUUCUCACGAUAAUAAAUUACUACACCCACCUCCAAACUAAAUCAAUUGAAAAUCAAAUGUAAUGUGAUAAAAUUAUUAAAAUUUAUAAUUUAAAGUAAUAUACAAAUAUUUUCAAUAUUGUCUUAGUAUGUAUUAUGUAACAACAAAUGAUGUUUUAUAAUAUAUAUUUUUUUUAUUUUAUAUUAGAUUUUUAAUUUAUAAUAAAAUUUUCUUUAAUUUUUAGUGUUUUACUAAUUAUUUUUGUAAAUUAUUUUAAGCAUUUGUUGAACUUUUUUAUAAAAACAAUUUGUUGAAAAUUUUGCUCAUACUAUUUGAAAAUAUUUUAUAGAUUAAUAGUGUUAUAAAUUAACAAAUUAUUAUAGUUCUAACAUAAUUUUACUUGAGUUUUAUACCCUAUCUUAUUAAAUAAUUUACUUUGAGUGAACCAAACAUAAAAAAAAAAUUAAAUGUAGUAUAACCAUUAAUAAUCUGAAAAUUAAGAUGAACCAGACUGCGUAUAAAUGUUUUCUGAAAAAAAAAAAUUUCUUAAAGAAAUAACUAAAUCCUUUAGUCUUUUUAAUGUUGGCUGUAUUGAAUGAAAGUAUAUAAUUCCUAUCUAAUCAAAUAUCUCAUUCUUAGUUUCAACAUAGUUGCAACGAUAACAUCGUAAAACAUAUAUAUAAUUACCUAACUAAAUGGAACAACACAAUAUGUUGGGUUUAUAUUUCAGCCCAAAACAAUCAAAGAAUAUGUCACCAAGCAAACAAUUAUGCACACUAAAACUGCAGUGUUUCUUGUUUUGAAGCUUAGAAUAAUUUUUUAAAGAUUUAAAGAGAGCUAUGAAAAUCAGAAGCAUACCCUAGUUUCAUAACAAUCCCCAAAAACAGAGGAGAAAUCCUAAUUGGAUUUCACAAUGAUGACCUCAAAUGUUAUUUUCUCUCUUUUUCUAAUCAAAAAUAAAAACUCAUACGAUGAUGACAACGAAUGUUUGUUUCUCUACACUAAAAAUGGCCACUAUUUCAAAACUUAUUUGUCUUUAUAUUCUCUGCUACAAAUAGAGAAAGCUGAUCUGAAAAUAACAAUCGUUGCAUAAAAGUAUCCCUUAUUUUUCCACCUGAUUCUUCAACUGCUUAUUUUUUUCUCUUUCACAUACACAGGUCUACGAUUUCGCUUUUACACAUAUCGAUCAGUGGCUGCUCAGAAGUUGAAUACUGGUUAAAAAACAUCCUAAAAUAGUUAACUUUUGUUGGAGUCCAACACCACAUGUUUCUUCUCUUUACCGCCAUUUUAACUUAUGUCAUCGCCACCAUCUCUGUCAACAUUCUCCUUGCAAUCCUCCAAACCCAACGUUGCGGCCUAUCCCUCGGCCCAGUCCUAUAAUUUAUAACCUAAGUGCACAUCCUCUGUUCCAGCUAAGAGACAUGUCUUUCGAGAGACAUAGAUAUAAGAGCCACCUGAAAAGUCCAAGUUGGCAUUUCCUUUCUUGUAUGAGAUCUAAGUCAUUAUUGGCUACAAAUGUUGGAAAAUAAUUCACUAUCUUUUAACUUAUAUACGCCACCAAAAUAGUGUCAGAUGCUUAAAAAUAAGUGCUAAUGUGGCAAUUACCCGUUAUUGCAAAUUCCUCCAGCGCAUCAUGUAUCCGAUUCUGAAUAUCCUCUAAAGGCCCAGAUUCUAAGCUUUAGGGAUGAAAAGUAAGAGGUUAUCAAUUUAAAAGAAACAUAUGUAAUGACGACAUAAGCAUCUAACUUUAGGAAAUAAUAAUGUGAUUCCAACUACAGUGACUCCAGGUAACUUUUAAAGAAAAGUAUCUUACCACACCAAAGAAUCGUUGAGGAACCCCUAGCCUCUGAGAUGAGGAUAACAUUUAUUUCUGCUCCCAUGUUGUCUAUGUCCCCUCAGUGGCAAAAAAAAGAACUAUUUACUAAGUUCAUAUGUAUAAAAUUUAGCAUAUAAUAAAUCAGACCACAAAUUGUUUAUAGUCAUUUAAUUGCUUACUUAAAAUUCAGGAGAGCUUCACAGUCAAUGUCUUUAACCAAUCUGGCAUGAAUCACACAUAAUAAAUAUGGAGAUAAUUGAAUCAUGUUUCGAAAUUUAUUCGGUCACAUCUCAUCUCAUCCAUAUAUAAUGAAAAGAAGUACGCAUUGCAAUUAUGAAACAGUACAUUCCAUCAGAAAACAAACCGUAAAGAUGCUUCUGAGACUUACAAACUCAAUCGCAUGAAAAUGCAAGAAGAUGACCCAAGCAACAAAUACUCUUCUUCACAAAAUAAACUUGAACUGAAAAAGCCGAUAAAACAACGCCAAUCCAUAACUUUUGGUUCCUCAAGCUGCUUGCUUUGUCUAGUUGAAUCUUUGAUCUUAUCAGCUUCUGGAAACCAUUAUGAGACGGCGUUUAGGUUAGGGGGAGGAUGAGUGAUUUUUAGAUUUUUGAGAAUUAGAUUUUAGGUUGGGCUGCGAAAUGGUUUAAAUGGGCUGCAAAGGUUAACUUAAUUUUUGUAUCCAAGCCUAGUCCACAAUGACAUGGCACUUUGAUUGGUCCUGAUUAUUUUGACCAUGUGGAUAGCUUUAGGAAUCUUAAAAAUAGCUUCUUUUAUAUAGUGGGAUUGAUAUCUAUUCUUAGUGAGAUAUGAAUAGGUCCAAAUUUAAAUGACAACAUUUAUAAUUAGAUAAAAAAAAUAACUUUAAAUUAAUAGAAUAGAUGGGUCAAGCUAGAACCUUACUAAAAGUGGAAAACAUGUUGAUUUUACGUCACACCAAGUUGCAUGUUGGUUAAUUGGAUGUCCUUGCAAUAUUUUAUCCUUAUUUGUCAUCUACAGCACAAGCUUCCUCUAAUCUAUGUCAGAGCUGGCUCUUGAUCUAAUUUGAAAUUUUAGACCAUUUACAAUGAUUUAGUUGAAUAAAUUAUUCAACUGUUGAAAGCUUGUAAUGAAAAUAUUGAAAAACCAAAAAAACUUAGGUGGAAUAAUUAGAGUUGAAUUUUUUCAACUAGUUGAAUACCAUAAAGUAGGGUCCACAAAAGUAACGUAUCAUCAUGUUAUUUAUUAUUAAAAUUGAAUUCAUUUUUUAUACACCCUAACUAUUUAAUCUCAAUUAUUUUGUAACAAAAUAAUUUAUUCAUUAAACUAUUUUAUAUAAAAAUUCAUCAUUUUUAUUUUAUUUUAUAAAUAGAGGUUUGUUAUAUUUAUUCGUACAUAUGAUUUGUUAAUUUCUAAUUAAUUUUUUAAGAAAUUAUUCUAUCUCUAAAAAUGGGAUUUUAAAAAUAAAUUCUACAUUCUUAAUUCUUAUUUAUUUUUGAAUAUUAAAGUUCAAAUUAUCGAUUAUUUUAAAAUGACUUAGAUUUGAUAAUUGUUUAUUUUAAUAAAAGUUUUUGAUGAAUUAAAAUAGAUGGAUAUAAUGAUAUUUUUAAAACAAAAGUUCUAGUUGAUUUAAAUUUAAGUAUUUAUUGAAUUAAUUAUUAUGUGAUAAAAAGAGAUAUGAAAAUCAAUUUAGAGAGGCAGACUGAGAGAGAAAGUAGAGAGAGAAAGUAGAUCUUGAAGUUGGUCCGGCGAGCGGCCGGCGCGUGAGCGUGCGUGCCGUCGCCGGAGCCCCUAGAGUAGCUUUAAAGAUGUUGGUCGUGCGUCUCUCCUUCGUCACCUCCGUCUUCCGCCUUGUCUGAGCUCUGGUUCAGGCCUCCUCUGCGGAGGUUCUGUCUUUGGAGUCAAGACGCGGUCGGGUGAAGGUACGGUGGGGAGAAGCUAAGGGUUUUUAGCCAGUGGAUGUUUCUUCUCCGGGAGAUGGAGGCUCCUUCAGCUCCGUCGCCGCCGGUUCUUGUCUCCGGGAGGGGAGGCUUUUGCAGCUCCGCCUUCGUCGGUUCUGUUCUCCGGGGGGUGAAGGUUUCUUCAACCUUGCGUCGCCGGUUUGUUGCUCCAGUCUUUUGGUUCGGUCUUUGAUUUCGUUGGGUGUGUGUUGGGUGUGUGUGGGGGUCUUUUGGUUCGUGAUUCCAAGUGGGUAAUGGUUUUGUGCUGUCGGAGGAGCUCUCGAUCGGAUCGAUGAUGCUCUCCGAAGCGAGAACAAAGCGUGAAAGAGAAGAGGUGGUCUUGAUGGAGGCUUUGCGGUUUGUCCGAGCUCCUGGCCUCCGGUGGUGUAUCUCCGGCGACUUCUCGAGAUGGUGAAGGUCAGGUUGAUGCUGACGUGACGCGUGCCGCACUGAGGGGCGUUAUCCUUACACGUGCCGAGCGUCCCUGACCCGUGGGCCGGUUGAAGUCGUUCGGGUUGGUUGUUGGGCCGUAGGGCCGUUUGAGUGUGUGUUUCCCCCAUUUGUUUUGGGUUUUGUUGGCUUUUGGUUGGGCCUCGGACUAUGUAAUUUGGGCUUAAACCCUUUUCAGUUUUUAUUAUAAUAAACUUGACGGGAAAAAAAAAAAGAUAAAAAGAGAUAUGAAAAAAAAAGAUGAUGCGGCAAAAAAACUGAUGUGACAUAUUAAAGUAGGGUAAUGAAUAACAGUUAGAGCAUAACCAACGCCGGGGAUGCUCAUUUGGAGUUUUUACCACUCAAAAAUCAUUAUUUAAAUGCAUGUUAGUUAUGUAAAUUAAUUUAUUUAUUUUACCUAAACAUUUACCAUUGGAAAAGAGACAGGUGGUCUCACAGUUUCGGUAGAGGUUCUUAGAACUUUUGGUGUUUUUCUUUUUUUCCGCCAAGUGAUUUUUUUUUAAUUAAUAAUAAUCCGGGCUAAGCCCAUAAUACAUAACUGAAGUUCCAAUUGCAACAUCAAAAGGUCCAGAAGCCCAAAAACUUACCGGCUACUCUCUAAAAACUUUAAACGGGCCCACAGCCCAAAUCACAUAAACCCGACCGACAUCGGCUGGGAUACUCGCAUCAAGGAGGCUGGCUGCAUGCCACGUGGUAGCAUCUACGCCCUCGGAUCGACACGCGUCGCACAUCGCCUCAACCUGAUCAUCUCCGCCUUGAAACGCCACCAGAACCCCUCAUCGGACCUUCCUUUCGCCGGCCCUUACCCCUCGCAACAACUGUCUUCAUCUCCGGUGGUCCUCCAUCAAAAGCGUCAUCGGACUCACUGCGCUCUCAUUAGGACCACCCACGACCUGAACUAUCUUUUCUUGUCGGUGAUAACAUCCACGAAAAGCUCAAUCUUCUUCAGAGAUCUCUUCCGAUCUGUAUAAAAUCAACUCGGCCGACAAGAACAAAAACCAAACCAAACUUAAACCGCUAACACCCAAAAUUCCUACGGGUUUCAAGCCGGCAGCGUAGAGCUGUGUUAGCCUCCACUCUCCGGAGACUAUACGACGACGGCAGAGUUAGGUAAGCCUCCCCCUCUCGAAACACUGAACCGGCAGCGGCGGAGCAAAAUGAGUCUCCACCUCCCGGAGAAUACCGGCGAUGACAGAGCUGUAAAAGCCUCCCCCUCCCGUAGUCUAACCUUUAUCUAAACGAGGUACCUCUCCACCGCAUAAGACCUUCUCCACGAUCGCGUCUUCACUCCAAACAACAAACCGCCAUGCAUCAUGGAAUAGGCCGGAGUCACAGUUCAGACAAGGCAAAAGUGGAGAGGAUACGGAGAAGAGACACUAGGAAGCUUUUAAAAGGACGGACUCCGGUUCCGACGACGACACGCUCGCGCACGCGCCUGCCUUACGCCGGGACCAACUAGAUCUACUUUGUCUCUCUACUUCUCUGUCUACAGAAAAAAAUUAGCUCUUGCUCAUAACUUUUGGUGUUUCAUUCUCUUAUUUUUUAUUUAAUUUUAUUUUCUUUAUCGAUUAGAUAUCAGUCUAUAUACUACCAAUAAAGAAGCUCUUAUAUGCAUGUAGUCUUCCAUGAAUAUUUAUAUUCACCACUAAAUUAACUAAAAUAUCUUACUUGGAAAAUAUUCAAAACUAAAACUGAAUAGUUUCGAGACGAGAUGCAAAUCAUAUUGUAUCAAAUUGGUUUGUCCGGCGUGAUGACACCUCUGGAAGCUUGAAAGAUUUGCUGAACCGGUAUGUUGCUAUCGUCAAAGCCCAUUUUUUUCGUUAUGGACUUUCGGUUUUGCUUUGCGGGCCAAGAAUCGAGACAUUGCUUUCCAGUGGUUAGUAGUCGACUCUGAAUAUGUGCCUUUGGUGUGCAAGUUGUUGGUACAUGAAUACCACUCCAAUCAAACUGCCACCAAUAAUAUCGGAUAGAAAUUGGUAAUCCUGAUUUAGCUUUGUUUUCUCUCGGAUUAAUGAUUAUUUUGUAGUUGAAUUGGAUGGUUUAAGAAACGGUUCAUUCUGUGUCAUAGAGUGAAUCGUUCACUUAGUGGUUGUAAGAGGACAGUGAAGAUUGAUGGGUAGCGUACAUGAUCCUCAGUGAUACUAGAUUUCUUUUUUGUUUUGUGGUUGAAUUUCUUAUGAGAUAAAAAAACUCUCGUUGUCGUUGAAUGAAAUUCGAAGUUGAGAAAAAGAAAAUCAUAUGAUCCGGUUGGCGUUACAUGCUUGAGUACUGUAUGUAUUUGCGAACUAAGUUGUAGUAUUAUAAGAACUCAUUUUAAGCUGACUGCAAAUAGUGAUGAUGUAAGGAAACAAAUUGUGAAUAAAAAAUCAAUUCAAUGAUAUAUAAAUAUUUAGUUUAUCAUUGUAAUAUACUAGACAAAGAGUUGUGUCUCUUCCUUAAGAGUUGUGUCUCUUCCGUAAAGUAUUGUGUCUCUUCUUUCUCAUGACUCUAAAUGAAUAAUUAACUUAAUAACAGAUUACGACUCUUAAUACAUAAAGCGUAUCCUAACGUACUUGGGAACUCAUUUAUUCGACCAACAUUGGUGUGGUGUUUGUCUCCUUUUGUGCAGUAAUAACUCUCACAUUUAUUCAUAAAGUUUUACAGUAGUUUCAUAUUGAAGAGAUACAACCUUUAAUCAAAAGACACCUAAGUGAACAAACACAACUAUUAACAAAAAUUGAAUUUUUUAUAAAAGCACACAACCUUUAAAAUUAAUUGGGAUUGCUAUUAUUAGUAGAUUUGUGAUUUCAUUUUACAACGUUUAAACGUUCGUUUUAAUUUUUUUUUAAUAAACUUAAAAUAUAUUAGGGAUAUAUGUUUCGUGAAUUAAAACUAUAACCACAUAACCACAUGAAAGAAACAUGAAUUGAUAAUCAAGAUACCCAACAUGUUCUUGAUUCAAAAUUAUGUUCUUGACCUAAAAUAAACAUGUUCUUGACAAAAAAAAUACAGUGGGAAAUUCAGAUAAUGGACGGGUUCGAAAAAUUCAGAAAGCUAAAAUAAUUUUUAAACUCAAUAAUUCGUAUAAGAAUCAAUUGGUGAUCAAUCUCAACUAAUCUCCAAUACUAGGAUCUAGAAAAGAUAUGAAAAUACACAGCACAUACACAUUUUAUUUAUUGAUAAAAUUUAUAAUUAUUCGACCAACAAUAUGUAGGUUACAACACUUCACAACAAUAAUAUCUCAAAGACCGAGAGAGAAAGGAAAACCGGUCGAACCUAACCAGCCUCCACCACCAAUAAACUGACCAGCAGUAUAUCUCUGAGCUUCAGAAGCAGCAGUGAUUACCUUAAAGCCCCUCCACUUCACUCUCCUUGCAGUUCCAGCCCCUGCUCCUUUAUUCGCAUACUCUCUAUAAGUCAAAGUGUUCAACGCAAAAGUCCCAGUCCACUCGGACCACCCUUCGGGUCGGAUCACGUCCGAGAUAUCCGACUGCAUGAUCACUGUUUGUGAAUACUCUUU